rnacentral:misc_RNA from 1 species
GCAAAUACUUCAGAUGCUGUUAUAACAGGAGGUGCAUUUUUUUCACGAUUCUUUUCACAUAUUAGAUCUGAUCUUACUCCUUUUAGCAUCAUGAAAGUCUUAAUUGUUUUGGCUUUUUGCUUUUUUCUAGCCGUGCAAUCUUCAUUUGCGGAAGAAUGUGAAUAUACAAUGGCAAAGAUGUGUUCUCUCACUCCAGGCGCCACUUAUAACGAGCGGGGUUGUUGGUAUACUUGCAGAAUCAAAGCCGAGUUUGAAGUUUUCACUGGUACAAAAGUAAACGGUU